ACGGGUGAGUAAUGUCUGGGGAUCUGCCCGAUAGAGGGGGAUAACCACUGGAAACGGUGGCUAAUACCGCAUAACGUCGCAAGACCAAAGAGGGGGACCUUCGGGCCUCUCACUAUCGGAUGAACCCAGAUGGGAUUAGCUAGUAGGCGGGGUAAUGGCCCACCUAGGCGACGAUCCCUAGCUGGUCUGAGAGGAUGACCAGCCACACUGGAACUGAGACACGGUCCAGACUCCUACGGGAGGCAGCAGUGGGGAAUAUUGCACAAUGGGCGCAAGCCUGAUGCAGCCAUGCCGCGUGUAUGAAGAAGGCCUUCGGGUUGUAAAGUACUUUCAGCGGGGAGGAAGGCGAUACGGUUAAUAACCGCGUCGAUUGACGUUACCCGCAGAAGAAGCACCGGCUAACUCCGUGCCAGCAGCCGCGGUAAUACGGAGGGUGCAAGCGUUAAUCGGAAUUACUGGGCGUAAAGCGCACGCAGGCGGUCUGUUAAGUCAGAUGUGAAAUCCCCGGGCUUAACCUGGGAACUGCAUUUGAAACUGGCAGGCUUGAGUCUUGUAGAGGGGGGUAGAAUUCCAGGUGUAGCG
rnacentral:rRNA from 1 species